CAAUUCGGACCAGGCGAUAUGGACGUCGCCGGCAACGCCAUUGCCGCUCAUGCGCCGGACAUGGUCGACAGCCGAGGCGCCGCCGACAAGCAUCUUUUUCGGGUCGCAGCCCCGCAGGGCGCAGGUGCCUCCGAAAGGCCGGUGGUCGAUGACGGCCACGCUCCAGCCCGCUGCGCGCACGCGCAUCGCGGCGGCCAUGGCUGCCGUGCCGGUUCCUAUGACUACAAGGUCGAA
rnacentral:misc_RNA from 1 species